rnacentral:rRNA from 1 species
AGAGUUUGAUCAUGGCUCAGGAUGAACGCUAGCGGCAGGCCUAAUACAUGCAAGUCGAGGGGCAGCACAGGUAGCAAUACUGGGUGGCGACCGGCAAACGGGUGCGGAACACGUACGCAACCUUCCUUCAAGCGGGGAAUAGCCCAGAGAAAUUUGGAUUAAUACCCCAUAAGAAUGUGGAUUGGCAUCAGUCAGCAUUUAAAGAUUUAUCACUUGAAGAUGGGCGUGCGUCUGAUUAGGUAGUUGGUGAGGUAACGGCUCACCAAGCCGACGAUCAGUAACUGGCGUGAGAGCGCGACCAGUCACACGGGCACUGAGACACGGGCCCGACUCCUACGGGAGGCAGCAGUAAGGAAUAUUGGUCAAUGGACGCAAGUCUGAACCAGCCAUGCCGCGUGGAGGAUGAAGGCCCUCUGGGUUGUAAACUUCUUUUAUUUGGGACGAAACACUUCUUUUCUAGGGAGCUUGACGGUACCAGAUGAAUAAGCACCGGCUAACUCCGUGCCAGCCGCCGCGGUAAUAC